UGUACAGUGCCGUGUGGAGCUGCAGGCGCAGAAGUUGUCCUGCCGGCUGGCCUACAUCCUUGUUCGAGAUGCUGCUCUGCAUGAAGUGUUCGCCAAACGCGGAAUACAUAAGUGAAGGAGUGAAAGUAAAUACAACAGGCUGUGUCUGUUUCCCAGGCAGCUACUGUAAUGAAGAACCAAGAGACCAACAAAGGAUUCUGUUGAAGUUCUGGGGACUUGUGAUCUGAAGUCAAGAUGUCAGCAAGACUGCUUGCUCUGGAGCUUCCGAGAGAGAGAAUCUUGUCCGUGUCUCUCCGUUUCUGGUGGCUUCCGACAUGACACAGUUUCCAGAGACAUUGUUCCAAGCCUUCAUGUAGAUACUAAAUCCCUGUUCUCUGGCCUUUAAGUCUCCCUCUGUUCCUUUUAUAAGAACACUAACCAUUGUGUUUUGAAUACAGUCUAUAUUCAAGGGUGAUGUUUUCUUAAGAUCCCUAAUUCAGUUGUAUCUUCAUAGACUUGUUGCAAAUUAGGUCGGUCAUUGUCAGAGGUUCUCUCUCUGAGGGGGCUGAUCAUUCCUGCCAACAGGGAGAUAGAUAGAGCCUUGGUUUCACUGAAUUUGAAAGUGAGAAACUGAGGCAGGAAGGAUGAGAGGCACACUUAUAUGACCCUUCCAGAGGAUAGUAGAUCCAGACUUCAAAUCUGGAGAGCCAGUUUCUAAGAAUUUACUUUACACCCAUGCUUUUUCAAGUCAGAGGCCAUGACUGAAUUUAUGGGAACUUCUCCAGCUCCCUCUGCCCACCAGCAGAAACUCUU
rnacentral:sRNA from 1 species